CCUACGGGUGGCAGCAGUGGGGAAUAUUGGACAAUGGGCGAAAGCAUGAUCCAGCCAUGCCGCGUGUGUGAAGAAGGCCUUCGGGUUGUAAAGCACUUUCAGUGGGGAAGAAAGCCUUGGGGCUAAUACCCUCGAGGAAGGACAUCACCCACAGAAGAAGCACCGGCUAACUCCGUGCCAGCAGCCGCGGUAAUACGGAGGGUGCGAGCGUUAAUCGGAAUUACUGGGCGUAAAGCGCGCGUAGGCGGUCUGAUAAGCCGGUUGUGAAAGCCCCGGGCUCAACCUGGGAACGGCAUCCGGAACUGUCAGGCUAGAGUGCAGGAGAGGAAGGUAGAAUUCCCGGUGUAGCAGUGAAAUGCGUAGAGAUCGGGAGGAAUACCAGUGGCGAAGGCGGCCUUCUGGACUGACACUGACGCUGAGGUGCGAAAGCGUGGGUAGCAAACAGGAUUAGAUACCCCGGUAGUC
rnacentral:rRNA from 1 species